rnacentral:ncRNA from 1 species
UCGGGCUUGAAACGCAGUCGCCCGGCUUCCCAAGGCAUCCGCCCAAGAACUGC